rnacentral:rRNA from 1 species
AUUGAACGCUGGCGGCGUGCCUAACACAUGCAAGUCGAGCGGGUAACAGGUGUAGCAAUACAUGCUGACGAGCGGCGGACGGGUGAGUAACGCUUGGGAAUCGUGCCUAUUAGUGGGGGACAACCCGGGGAAACUCGGGCUAAUACCGCAUACGCUCUACGGAGGAAAGCCGGGGACCGCAAGGCCUGGCGCUAAUAGAUGAGCCCAAGUCGGAUUAGCUAGUUGGUAGGUAAGGCCUACCAAGGCGACGAUCCGUAACUGGUCUGAGAGGACGACCAGGUCACACCGGAACUGAGACACGGUCCGGACUCCUACGGGAGGCAGCAGUGGGGAA